rnacentral:tmRNA from 1 species
GGGGGCACGCUGGUGGUUCGGAUCGGUGACACGGUGUCGCUCCUAGAUCGGUUGCACCGGCAGGUCGGCAUAUCCGGGCUCUCGUCACAUGAGGAGACCGGGAACGGGUGGACGUACUCGCGUGACAAGGAAGUUGCGUCGUGGGCGCGUGGCCAUGCGGUUCCGUGGCACGAGUUUCCUCAGUCCGGGGUGGAGCGUCCACGCAGAACGCGUGAUGGUUGGGCAUCGCGUUGGGAUCGGAAGAUGCGCACACCGAUUAUUCCAGCGCCCGUGGCGGUCCGGUCCCUGCCGGGCCUUGACCCGGGUUCGAUACCGGGUGUCUCCG